AGUCAUGCCUGGUAGGCAAAUCCGCCGGGCUAAGAUGAGGGGUGAUAACGAGUCUGCUUGCAGACGAAGUGAGUGAUACCCUGCUUCCAGGAAAAGCCACUAAGCUUCAGCUGACGACCGUACCGCAAACCGACACUGGUGCGCGAGAUGAGUAUUCUAAGGCGCUUGAGAGAACUCAGGAGAAGGAACUCGGCAAAUUAACACCGUAACUUCGGGAGAAGGUGUACCCCAAGUCAGUGAAGUUGAACAAACGGAGCUAAAAGGGGUUGCAAAAAAUUGGUGGCUGCGACUGUUUAAUAAAAACACAGCACUCUGCAAACACGAAAGUGGACGUAUAGGGUGUGACGCCUGCCCGGUGCUGGAAGAUUAAAUGAUGGGGUGCAAGCUCUUGAUUGAAGUCCCAGUAAACGGCGGCCGUAACAAUAACGGUCCUAAGGUAGCGAAAUUCCUUGUCGGGUAAGUUCCGACCUGCACGAAUGGCGUAACGAUGGCCACACUGUCUCCUCCUGAGACUCAGCGAAGUUGAAAUGUUUGUGAUGAUGCAAUCUCCCCGCGGAAAGACGGAAAGACCCCAUGAACCUUUACUGUAGCUUUGUAUUGGACUUUGAACGGAUCUGUGUAGGAUAGGUGGGAGGCUUUGAAGUGUGGUCGCUAGAUCACAUGGAGCCAACGUUGAAAUACCACCCUGGUGCGUUUGAGGUUCUAACCUUGGUCCAUUAUCUGGAUCGGGGACAGUGCAUGGUAGGCAGUUUGACUGGGGCGGUCUCCUCCCAAAGCGUAACGGAGGAGUUCGAAGGUACGCUAGUUACGGUCGGACAUCGUGACGAUAGUGCAAUGGCAUAAGCGUGCUUAACUGCGAGACUGACAAGUCGAGCAGAUGCGAAAGCAGGACAUAGUGAUCCGGUGGUUCUGUAUGGAAGGGCCAUCGCUCAACGGAUAAAAGGUACUCUGGGGAUAACAGGCUGAUACCGCCCAAGAGUUCAUAUCGACGGCGGUGUUUGGCACCUCGAUGUCGGCUCAUCUCAUCCUGGGGCUGUAGUCGGUCCCAAGGGUAUGGCUGUUCGCCAUUUAAAGAGGUACGUGAGCUGGGUUUAAAACGUCGUGAGACAGUUUGGUCCCUAUCUUCCGUGGGCGCUGCAGAUUUGAGGAAGCCUGCUCCUAGUACGAGAGGACCGGAGUGGACACACCUCUGGUGUACCUGUUGUCACGCCAGUGGCAUCGCAGGGUAGCUAAGUGUGGAAGAGAUAACCGCUGAAAGCAUCUAAGCGGGAAACUCGUUUCAAGAUGAGAUCUGCCGGGGCCUUGAGCCCCCUGAAGGGUCGUUGUAGACCACGACGUUGAUAGGCUGGGUGUGGAAGCG
rnacentral:rRNA from 1 species